rnacentral:rRNA from 1 species
AACGAACGCUGGCGGCAGGCCCUAACACAUGCAAGUCGAAACGCUUCAGCAAUGAAGAGUGGCAGACGGGUGAGUAACGCGUGGGAACCUUCCCAGUGGUACGGAAUAGCCCAGGGAAACUUGGGGUAAUACCGUAUAAGCCCUUCGGGGGAAAGAUUUAUCGCCAUUGGAUGGGCCCGCGUCGGAUUAGCUUGUUGGUGAGGUAAAAGCUCACCAAGGCGACGAUCCGUAGCUGGUCUGAGAGGAUGAUCAGCCACACUGGGACUGAGACACGGCCCAGACUCCUACGGGAGGCAGCAGUGGGGAAUAUUGGACAAUGGGCGCAAGCCUGAUCCAGCCAUGCCGCGUGAGUGACGAAGGCCUUAGGGUUGUAAAGCUCUUUUGGCGGGGACGAUAAUGACGGUACCCGCAGAAUAAGCUCCGGCUAACUUCGUG